UACGAAGGGGGCUAGCGUUGCUCGGAAUUACUGGGCGUAAAGGGCGCGUAGGCGGAUGUUUAAGUCGGGGGUGAAAGCCCGGGGCUCAACCCCGGAAUUGCCUUCGAUACUGGACAUCUUGAGUACGGGAGAGGUGAGUGGAACUCCGAGUGUAGAGGUGAAAUUCGUAGAUAUUCGGAAAGAACACCAGUGGCGAAGGCGACUCACUGGCCCGUUACUGACGCUGAGGCGCGAAAGCGGUGGGGAGCAAACAGGG
rnacentral:rRNA from 1 species